AUGAGACUUUCCAGGCAAGUGUGGAGUGGGGUGCCAUUGCCUUCUCCAAAGUGUUUCUUAAUCAUGGAAACAGCAAGAGAGUUCCAGAAAAACAUCUAUUUCUGCUUUAUUGACUAUGCCAAAGCCUUUGUCUGUGUGGAUCACAAUAAACUGUGGACAAUUCUGAAAGAGAUGGGAAUACCAGACCACCUGACCUGCCUCUUGAGAAUUGUGUAUACAGGUCAGGAAGCAACAGAUAGAACUGGACAUGGAACAACAGACUGGUUCCAAAUAGGAAAAGGAGUACGUCAAGGCUGGAUAUUGUCACCCUGCUUAUUUAACUCAUAUGCAGAAUACAUCAUGAGAAACCCUGAGCUGGAAGAAACACAAGCUGGAAUCAAGAUUGCCGGGAGAAAUACCAAUAACCUCAGAUAUGCAGAUGACACCACCUUUAUGGCAGAAAGUGAAGAGGAACUAAAAAACCUCUUGAUGAAAGUGAAAGAGGAGAGGGGAAAAGUUGGCCUAAAGCUCAACAUUCAGAAAACGAAGAUCAUGGCUUCCGGUCCCAUCACUUCAUGGGAAAUAGAUGGGGAAACAGUGGAAACAGAGUCAGACUUUAUUUUUGGGGGCUCCAAAAUCAUUGCAGAUGGUGACUGCAGCCAUGAAAUUAAAAGACGCUUUCUCCUUGGAAGAAAAGUUAUGACCAAACUAGAUAGCAUAUUCAAAAGCAGAGACAUUACUUUGCUGACUAAGGUCCGUCUAGUCAAGGCUAUAGUUUUUCCAAUGGUCAUGUAUGGAUGUGAGAGUUGGACUGUGAAGAAGGCUGAGUGCCGAAGAAUUGAUGCUUUUGAACUGUGGUGUUGGAGAAGACUCUUGAGAGUCCCUUGGACUGCAAGGAGAUCCAACCAGUCCAUUCUGAAGGAGAUCAGCCCUGGGAUUUCUUUGGAAGGAAUGAUGCUAAAGCUGAAACUCCAGUACUCUGGCCACCUCAUGCGAAGAGUUGACUCAAUGGAAAAGACUCUGAUGCUGGGAGGAAUUGGGGGCAGGAGGAGAAGGGGACGACAGAGGAUAAGAUGGCUGGAUGGCAUCACUGACUCGAUGGAUGUGAGUCUGAGUGAACUCCAGGAGUUGGUGAUGGACAGGGAGGCCUGGUGUGCUGUGAUUCAUGGGGUCGCAAAGAGUUGA
rnacentral:lncRNA from 1 species